rnacentral:rRNA from 1 species
UGAGGAAUAUUGGUCAAUGGACGAGAGUCUGAACCAGCCAAGUAGCGUGAAGGAUGACUGCCCUAUGGGUUGUAAACUUCUUUUAUAUGGGAAUAAACGUUCCACGUGUGGGAUUUUGUAUGUACCAUAUGAAUAAGGAUCGGCUAACUCCGUGCC